CAGCCGCCGCGGGAAUACGUAGGUGGCAAGCGUUGUCCGGAAUUAUUGGGCGUAAAGGGCUCGCAGGCGGUUUCUUAAGUCUGAUGUGAAAGCCCCCGGCUCAACCGGGGAGGGUCAUUGGAAACUGGGAAACUUGAGUGCAGAAGAGGAGAGUGGAAUCCCACGUGUAGCGGUGAAAUGCGUAGAGAUGUGGGGGAACACCAGUGGCGAAGGCGACUCUCUGGUCUGUAACUGACGCUGAGGAGCGAAAGCGUGGGGAGCGAACAGGAUUAGAGACCCCGGUAGUCCCUGUCUCUUAUAC
rnacentral:rRNA from 1 species